AUGUCACGAAGGCCAUUGCGCAAAAACAAAAGUGCAGAGAAGUGGAAGAGAGAAAAUCUUCAGUUCCAUUUUCAGUCUGUUAAAGACCUGGGACUGGGGUCUCCUCUGUGUGGCAAGUGGACACACAGAGCUGCUUUCAAAAGGAGUCACCACAAGGCCUCAGUCUGGCUCGCCUCCACAAAGGUCAUGCCUGAGAAGAACCAUGAGGCCACCUCUCCACGUGGAAACCGUGAGUGUGACCAUGGCUGGUAUAGUGUCCUCCCAGCUCCCCAUGGGCUGUGGGGCUGGAGACCAGUGUGCUUUCAGCAACAGCAGGGUUGUCUCCUUCUGAGCACACUGGGAGGGCUCAUGCCCACGUUGUGAGGGCCUGCUGACAUCUGUGUUCCCAUCCACUCAGCACUGGGGUAGCUGUUUAUCUACCACCCUUCAGCAAUGAGGUUGAGGGGCGUACCUCAGAAAGGCAGCACAUGGUGCUUUCUGCAGCACUGAGUGAAGGGGAGAAACUUAAAGCCAAUGGGAAGGAUUUGCAUUAGCUCUGCUGCCAAGAAGUCUUCCCUAAACUCUCUCCUUCCAUAAUAUCUGGGUCAAAAUAAUACCGACUCUACUAAAUCUUCAAUUUUCUUGCUUUUUGUGUAUCAACACUAGGACAAAGCAAUUACAGCCCCCAGAGACACACACGAGUGAAGCGAGUGAGGCAGAGAUAUUAGUGUUGCAGUUGUCCUUCCCUGCCCUGUCCUCUGCCUUUGUUAAUCUGC
rnacentral:lncRNA from 1 species